AUCGUGGUGCCGACGCUGGGGAUCGGCUGGCCGGUCAGCUCGGCCAUGAUGCCGAGCCCGGCGAGGUUCGAGGUCUUGCCCUGGUC
rnacentral:tRNA from 1 species